AGGAAAUGCAUGAGACUAUGUUAUUGGUGUAUAAACUGUAUUUUUUUUUUUUUGAGAAAAAGGUAGGACGCUAUCUGCUUCAUUCAUUGAUUCAAUAAAUUAAGCUACAAGUGUGGAGCAACUAGCCCCCGAAAAGGGCGGUGAAAAAAAAAAAAAAUAAAAGUCCUUCACGAUUAGCUAGAAGGCUCGAGAAGAAGAUCCCACUCCUUGACGAGCGACUUGAGUCUGUGGGCUGCCAACACUGGGUUGGGGAGGAUAUUUCGAAAUAUACAGUCGUUUCUGACCUUUCAAGUGAUCCACCAACAUCCCACUAGAUCGGAAAGUCUGGUUCGCUUCAUUUGAUGAUCCUUUCUUUU
rnacentral:lncRNA from 1 species